AACCUCCGCAAUGUGAGAAAUCGCGACGGGGGGAUCCCAAGUGCCAUUCUUAACGGGAUGGCUUUUCAUUAGUGUAAAAAGCUUUUGGAAUAAGAGCUGGGCAAGACCGGUGCCAGCCGCCGCGGUAACACCGGCAGCUCUAGUGGUAGCAAUUUUUAUUGGGCCUAAAGCGUCCGUAGCCGGUUUAAUAAGUCUCUGGUGAAAUCCUGUAGCUUAACUGUGGGAAUUGCUGGAGAUACUAUUAGACUUGAGACCGGGAGAGGUUAGAGGUACUCCCAGGGUAGAGGUGAAAUUCUGUAAUCCUGGGAGGACCGCCUGUUGCGAAGGCGUCUAACUGGAACGGUUCUGACGGUGAGGGACGAAAGUUAGGGGCGCGAACCGGAUUAGAUACCCGGGUAGUCCUAACUGUAAACGAUGCGGACUUGGUGUUGGGGUGGCUUUGAGCUGCUCCAGUGCCGAAGGGAAGCUGUUAAGUCCGCCGCCUGGGAAGUACGGUCGCAAGACUAGAAUUUAAAGGAAUU
rnacentral:rRNA from 1 species